UCCCUAUGCUAUUUUCCUUGUAGCCUAUAGCAGGGUGUUAACAUGAUGAGUCCAGGCACCUACUGGUCGUCAGUAACUAUCCAACGUCAACCUGUUUAACCCACCAGCAGAUACAGCCCCUCUUACAACUGCCACUGACUUGGGUCAGCUUAUCCCUAGGCUAUGUUCCUUGUAGCCUAUAGCAGGGUGUAAACACGAUGAAUCCAGGCACCUAUUGGUCGUCAACAACUAUCCAACGUCAGCCUGUUUAACAAACCAGCAGGAAAGAAAGUAAUACAAUAGCCAAUAAACUCACAGGCCGGGAAAGAACAGUAAACUACGUGCUAGAGGAGUCACAGCCAGGACCAAAGGACAGCCAGGACCAUACACAGCAUUCACCAGCGAUGGACGGAUUACACGGUCGCCGAGUUGGAUCAUAUCAUAAGAGAGCUACUAGCUUAACUGUCCAGGAAAUCAUCGCACAAUUGGAAAAAGAUCCGCCUAAUCAUCCUACUGAUGUUUUCCUC